GUGCUUGCUUUGGCAGCACAUACACUAAAGUUGGAGUGAUACAGAGAAGACUGGCAUGACUCCUGUGCAUGGACGACACGCAAAGAGGUUCAUGAGUGGUUC